rnacentral:rRNA from 1 species
GACCAGACUCCUACGGGAGGCAGCAGUGGGGAAUAUUGGGCAAUGGACGCAAGUCUGACCCAGCAACGCCGCGUGAAGGAAGAAGGCUUUCGGGUUGUAAACUUCUUUUAAGGGGGAAGAGCAGAAGACGGUACCCCUUGAAUAAGCCACGGCUAACUACGUGCCAGCAGCCGCGGUAAUACGUAGGUGGCAAGCGUUAUCCGGAUUUACUGGGUGUAAAGGGAGCGUAGGUGGCGUGCCAAGUCAGGAGUGAAAACCCAGGGCCCAACCUUGGGACUGCUCUUGAAACUGGCAGGCUUGAGUGCUGGAGAGGUAAGCGGAAUUCCUAGUGUAGCGGUGAAAUGCGUAGAUAUUAGGAGGAACACCAGUGGCGAAGGCGGCUUACUGGACAGUGACUGACACUGAGGCUCGAAAGCGUGGGGAGCAAACAGGAUUAGAUACCCGGGUAAA